GGAAUUUUGGACAAUGGGGGCAACCCUGAUCCAGCAACGCCGCGUGCGGGAAGAAGGCUUUCGGGCUGUAAACCGCUUUCAGUAGGAACGAAACUGACGGUACCUACAGAAGAAGGAGCGGCCAACUAUGUGCCAGCAGCCGCGGUGACACAUAGGCUCCAAGCGUUGUCCGGAUUUAUUGGGCGUAAAGAGCUCGUAGGCGGUUGAGUAAGUCGGGUGUGAAAACUUUGGGCUUAACCCAAAGAUGCCACUCGAUACUGUUCAACUUGAGUUUGGUAGGGGAGUGGGGAAUUCCUUGUGUAGCGGUGAAAUGCGCAGAUAUAAGGAGGAACACCGGUGGCGAAGGCGCCACUCUGGGCCAAUACUGACGCUGAGGAGCGAAAGCGUGGGGAGCAAACAGGAUUAGAUACCCUGGUAGUCCACGCGGUAAACGGUGGUCACUAGGUGUGGGUCUCUUCAAACGAGAUCUGCGCCGUCGCUAACGCAUUAAGUGACCCGCCUGGGGAGUACGGUCGCAAGACUAAAACUCAAAGGAAUUGACGG
rnacentral:rRNA from 1 species